GACGAACGCUGGCGGCGUGCUUAACACAUGCAAGUCGAACGGAAAGGCCCUGCUUUUGUGGGGUGCUCGAGUGGCGCACGGAUGAGUAACCCGUGAGUAACCUGCCCUUGACUUUGGGAUAACUUCAGGCAACUGGUGCUACUACCGGAUAGGAGCUCCUGCUGCAUGGUGGGGGUUGGAACGUUUCGGCGGUUGGGGAUGGACUCGCGGCUUAUCAGCUUGUUGGUGGGGUAGUGGCUUACCAAGGCUUUGACGGGUAGCCGGCCUGAGAGGGUGACCGGCCACAUUGGGACUGAGAUACGGCCCAGACUCCUACGGGAGGCAGCAGUGGGGAAUAUUGCACAAUGGGCGGAAGCCUGAGGCAGCAACGCCGCGUGCGGGAUGACGGCCUUCGGGUUGUAAACCGCUUUCGCCUGUGACGAAGCGUGAGUGACGGUAAUGGGUAAAGAAGCACCGGCUAACUACGUG
rnacentral:rRNA from 1 species